rnacentral:rRNA from 1 species
ACGGGGGCUGCAGCAGUGAGGAAUAUUGCACAAUGGGGGGAACCCUGAUGCAGCAACGCCGCGUGGAGGAUGACGCAUUUCGGUGUGUAAACUCCUUUUAUAUGUCAAGAAAAUGACGGUAGCAUAUGAAUAAGCACCGGCUAACUCCGUGCCAGCAGCCGCGGUAAUACGGAGGGUGCAAGCGUUACUCGGAAUCACUGGGCGUAAAGGACGCGUAGGCGGGUUGGAAAGUCAGGUGUGAAAUCCUACAGCUUAACUGUAGAACUGCACUUGAAACUUCUAAUCUAGAGUAUGGGAGGGGGAGAUGGAAUUAGUGGUGUAGGGGUAAAAUCCGUAGAUAUCACUAGGAAUACCUAAAGCGAAGGCGAUCUCCUGGAACAUUACUGACGCUAAGGCGUGAAAGCGUGGGGAGCAAACAGGAUUAGAUACCCUCGUAGUC